UCCUAAGGUAGCAAAAUCGAUUGGCCUUUAAAUGAGGUCCGGUAUCAAUAAUGUAACGAUGGUCUCACUGUCUCUACAACUUGCUCAGUGAAAUUGAAUUACGCGUGCAGAUGCGCGUUACCUCCAGGGGGACGGGAAACUUAAAUUCUCUGGAAAAAUAAAAUGCGACUAGAUAAGUCUAUUAUAACAAUGCGGUUAAACCCCGCCUAAUAAUCCAUUAUUUGAGCUAAAACAGUAUAGGAUAGAAGUAAUUUUAUACUAUAAAGCCUGUGGUGUAUUAACUAUUUAAUAUGGGAAAAUGAUUAUAAAUUUAAAUAUUUAAUAUACUUAGCUAGAAAUCCUUGGACAAUAUAAUGUGAAUCCAUGUUUGAAGAUGCAGCUUUACUGUAAUUAGUUAUCAUAUGAAUCUAGAACAAUCUUAAUUAAGAGAGAAUAGGGAAGUCUAGUUAAGACAAAUAUUGGGAACCUUACAAUUAAUUUUGGGUUUGUGUUUACCUUUUUAAAUAAAGGGAUAGUUGACUAAUUGGCAGUUUGACUGGGGCGGUCGUCUUUAAUAGAGUAGCAAAGUACAACCAAAGAUAUCUACAAAUUAUAUUUUACUAAGUAAAACUAACAAAUAAAUUAGCGUAAUCUAAAAUUACUUAAAAACUAAAUUUAGAGAAGCUACAAAAAUAAUUACACAAAAUUAUAAAGGUAUAGCUAGAAAUUGAAUGGAGAUCAAUCAACCAGUGAAGGGUUGCGCAGAGUUCAAUGGCGGUAAGCAUGCUUAACUGAAAGACUCAAAAGUCGCACAGAUACGUAAGUAGGGCAUAGUGACCCCUCGCUAUAGAAUGGGAUAGACGAGGAUCAAUUGAUAAAAGUUACGCUAGGGAUAACAGGCUGAUAGCGGACGAGAGUACACAUUGUCUCCGCUGAUUGGCACCUCGAUGUCGACUCAUCCUAUCCUCCGGGGGAAGAAGCUUGGAAGGGUUCGGCUGUUCGCCGAUUAAAAGGGUACGUGAGUUGGGUUUAAUACGACGUGAGUCAGUAUGGUCCCUAUCUUCUGGAGGGACAAUUAGUAAAAGGGGGCAGACCUUCUAGUACGAAAGGACCAAUAGGCUGUGUUUCUCUAGUGUACCAAUUGUUUUAAUUAUUAUAGCAUAGCUAUUAGCUUUAUCUAAAUAAUGAACGCAUAGUUGGGUAGCCACAAACAUAAUAGAUAAGUGCUGAAUGUAUAUCAAGCAAGAAUCUAACCCCUAGAUACUAAAUGGUUUAUUUAUAAACCUUAAUUGAGAAAUAGAAGAUUUCUAGAUAGGCUGCAAAUGAAAGUACUGUAAAGUAUUUAGUUUAGUAGUACUAAUUUAUAAAAAAACUGAAUAAUGAGGAUUAACAAAAUUAAAAUUUAAGAAAAUUUAAACUAGAUAAAAAAAGCUACUAGUUGCUAACUACUAUUCUAGUUGCUGCGUUAAUACUUACGCAUAG
rnacentral:rRNA from 1 species